CAACAUCAGGAUGAAGUCUCACACUCAGCUCCUCUGGCUCAUCCUGCUCUGGAUUCAGGGCUCCAGCGGGGACAUCGUGAUGAACCAGACUCCAGAGUCCCUGGCAGUGUCACCAGGAGACACCGUCACCAUCACCUGCAAAGCUGUUACAUACAGUGGUAGCAGCGUUGCCUGGUACCAACAGAAAUCAGGACAAUCUCCUAAGCUUCUUAUCUACAGCACAAACUCGCGGCCCUCUGGGAUCCCCGACCGGUUCAGUGGCACUAGGUCGGGUAGUGACUACACUCUCACCAUCAGCAGGGUGGAAGUAGGCGAUGCUGGCGACUAUUACUGUCAGCAGUAUAGCAGUUUCCCUCUCACACAGUGAUACAGACCACGACAAAAACCUCCCUGCUGGGUUCAGCUUCUCUUGCUCACUCAAACAGCUGCUUCCUGCACACGCUUACUGCCUCACACCAGUUACUUCUUGCUCAUAUGG